rnacentral:rRNA from 1 species
AGAACGAACGCUGGCGGCAGGCCUAACACAUGCAAGUCGAACGCUGUAGCAAUACAGAGUGGCAGACGGGUGAGUAACGCGUGGGAACCUUCCCAGUGGUGCGGAAUAGCUCAGGGAAACUUGAGGUAAUACCGCAUAAGCCCUUAGGGGGAAAGAUUUAUCGCCAUUGGAUGGGCCCGCGUCGGAUUAGCUAGUUGGUGAGGUAAUGGCUCACCAAGGCAACGAUCCGUAGCUGGUUUGAGAGAAUGACCAGCCACACUGGGACUGAGACACGGCCCAGACUCCUACGGGAGGCAGCAGUGGGGAAUCUUGGACAAUGGGCGCAAGCCUGAUCCAGCCAUGCCGCGUGAGUGACGAAGGCCUUAGGUGUAAAGCUCGUUUGCCGGGACGAUAAUGACGGUACCCGGAGAAUAAGUCCCGGCUAACUCGUGCCGAGCAGCCGC